UACGGGGGGAGCAAGCGUUGUUCGGAUUUACUGGGCGUAAAGGGCGCGUAGGCGGUCAGCACAAGUCAGUUGUGAAAUCUCCGAGCUUAACUCGGAAAGGUCAACUGAUACUGUGCGACUAGAGUGCGGAAGGGGCAACUGGAAUUCUUGGUGCAGCGGUGAAAUGCGUAGAUAUCAAGAGGAACACCUGCGGCGAAGGCGGGUUGCUGGGCCGACACUGACGCUGAGGCGCGAAAGCUAGGGGAGCGAACGGG
rnacentral:rRNA from 1 species